rnacentral:rRNA from 1 species
AUUGAACGCUGGCGGCAGGCCUAACACAUGCAAGUCGGACGGUAGCACAGAGGAGCUUGCUCUUCGGGUGACGAGCGGCGGACGGGUGAGUAAUGUCUGGGGAUCUGCCCGAUAGAGGGGGAUAACCACUGGAAACGGUGGCUAAUACCGCAUAACGUCGCAAGACCAAAGAGGGGGACCUUCGGGCCUCUCACUACCGGAUGAACCCAGAUGGGAUUAGCUAGUAGGCGGGGUAACGGCCCACCUAGGCGACGAUCCCUAGCUGGGCUGAGAGGAUGACCAGCCAAACUGGAACUGAGACACGGUCCAGGCUCCUACGGGAGGCAGCAGUGGGGAAUAUUGCACAAUGGGCGCAAGCCUGAUUCAGCCAUGCCGCGUGUAUGAAGAAGGCCUUCGGGUUGUAAAGUACUUUCAGCGGGGAGGAAGGCGAUGUGGUUAAUAACCGCGUCGAUUGACGUUACCCGCAGAAGAAGCACCGGCUAACUCCGUGCCAGCCGCCGCGGUAA